CCUUUCUGUAUCUUGAUUCAAAUUGAUGGGAAUGGUAACAAGAAGCAUGGUUUUUAUUAUGCAGUUUCGGGGUUGUUGAAGCAUAAGUUCGUUCUAAACUAGGGUUGUUAAGAAACCUAUAAACGGGUGUUUGACCAAAUCAGUUCGUUGGUUUAAAGGAUAAACUGCAGAAAUAUCCCUUGAACUCGUACCUAAUUAUCAAUUUACAUCAUGACUUUCUUUGUUACAAAAUUAAGGACUCAAACUAAAUUUUAUCCGCAAUUUCCCACCUGCGGUCCAAAUUCUCAACAUUUCAUCCAAUUUUCAGUUAAAUGAUUUUAAAAAAAAUUUAUUUUUGGAAAAAAUUAAAGGAAAAAAAAAAUAAAACAAAAACCUCCCUACAGCCAUCACCUUUCUUCCCACCAUCGCCAUCACACCUCUCCUCAUCACCACAGCCAGCCCCUCAUCUCACCAACCCAAAACAACUCCUCCCCAUCCCCCAUCUCAGCCACUCCAAUCCUCGAUUGAAAUCACAGCAGCCAGUGACCCAGCCUCUUCCCUACCUGCAACCCACCCUACAUCCAAAAAACAUAAAAGAAAACCCUAUUCCUACCCACAAACCCAAACCCAUUCGCGCCAUUUCCCCUAUGAUUUUUCCCCCAUAGCCUUAAAGGUCCAGACCUCUUCACCUCACAGGUUCAUUGCCCCUUCACCGCACCCCAAAUCGCACAACUCAUCAAUGGAUUCAAGAUCUGAAUAAAAUGGGGCUGAUGGGUUUGGUCGCAUAGAGAGAGAGAGAGAGGGGGGAGAAUGGGCUUGGUCGCAGAGAGAGAGAAGAAAGGGUGGGUGGGUC
rnacentral:lncRNA from 1 species